rnacentral:rRNA from 1 species
CCUACGGGCGGCAGCAGUGAGGAAUAUUGGUCAAUGGGCGGGAGCCUGAACCAGCCAAGCCGCGUGAGGGAAGAAGGUACAGCGUAUCGUAAACCUCUUUUGUCAGGGAACAAAGGCGGGGACUAGUCCCCGGAUGAGGGUACCUGAAGAAAAAGCAUCGGCUAACUCCGUGCCAGCAGCCGCGGUAAUACGGAGGAUGCGAGCGUUUUCCGGAUUUAUGGGGGUUAAAGGGUGCGCAGGGGGCCUGUUAAGUCAGCGGUAAAAGCCCGGGGCUCAACCCCGGCGAGCCGUUGAAACUGGCGGGCUGGAGUUGGAGAGAGGUACGCGGAAUGCGCGGUGUAGCGGUGAAAUGCUUAGAUAUCGCGCAGAACCCCGAUUGCGAAGGCAGCGUACCGGCUCCACACUGACGCUGAGGCACGAAAGCGUGGGUAUCGAACAGGAUUAGAUACCCUAGUAGUC